AAUGAACGCUGGCGGCGUGCUUAACACAUGCAAGUCGAGCGAGGCCUGGGGGGCAACUCCCAGAGUCGAGCGGCGGACGGGUGAGUAACACGUGGGUAACCUGCCCGGAAGUGGGGAAUACCUCGGGGAAACUCGAGCUAAUACCGCAUGACAUCUCCGGGACGAAAGUCCUGGCGAUCAAAGCGGGGUCGCAAGAUCUCGCGCUACCGGAUGGGCCCGCGCCCGAUUAGCUAGUUGGNGAGGUAACGGCUCACCAAGGCUUCGAUCGGUAACCGGCCUGAGAGGGCGAUCGGUCACACCGGAACUGAGACACGGUCCGGACUCCUACGGGAGGCAGCAGUGGGGAAUCUUGCGCAAUGGGCGAAAGCCUGACGCAGCAACGCCGCGUGGAGGAUGAAGGCCCUU
rnacentral:rRNA from 1 species